GAUGAACGCUGGCGGCGUGCCUAAUACAUGCAAGUCGAGCGAACGGACGAGAAGCUUGCUUCUCUGAUGUUAGCGGCGGACGGGUGAGUAACACGUGGAUAACCUACCUAUAAGACUGGGAUAACUUCGGGAAACCGGAGCUAAUACCGGAUAAUAUUUUGAACCGCAUGGUUCAAAAGUGAAAGACGGUCUUGCUGUCACCUAUAGAUGGAUCCGCGCUGCAUUAGCUAGUUGGUAAGGUAACGGCUUACCAAGGCAACGAUGCAUAGCCGACCUGAGAGGGUGAUCGGCCACACUGGAACUGAGACACGGUCCAGACGCCUACGGGAGGCAGCAGUAGGGAAUCUUCCGCAAUGGGCGAAAGCCUGACGGAGCAACGCCGCGUGAGUGAUGAAGGUCUUCGGAUCGUAAAACUCUGUUAUUAGGGAAGAACAUAUGUGUAAGUAACUGUGCACAUCUUGACGGUACCUAAUCAGAAAGCCACGGCUAACUACGUG
rnacentral:rRNA from 1 species